AUUGAACGCUGGCGGCAUGCCUUACACAUGCAAGUCGAACGGCAGCACGGGUGCUUGCACCUGGUGGCGAGUGGCGAACGGGUGAGUAAUACAUCGGAACAUGUCCUGUAGUGGGGGAUAGCCCGGCGAAAGCCGGAUUAAUACCGCAUACGAUCUACGGAUGAAAGCGGGGGACCUUCGGGCCUCGCGCUAUAGGGUUGGCCGAUGGCUGAUUAGCUAGUUGGUGGGGUAAAGGCCUACCAAGGCGACGAUCAGUAGAUGGUCUGAGAGGACGACCAGCCACACUGGGACUGAGACACGGCCCAGACUCCUACGGGAGGCAGCAGUGGGGAAUUUUGGACAAUGGGCGAAAGCCUGAUCCAGCAAUGCCGCGUGUGUGAAGAAGGCCUUCGGGUUGUAAAGCACUUUUGUCCGGAAAGAAAUCCUUGGCUCUAAUACAGUCGGGGGAUGACGGUACCGGAAGAAUAAGCUCCGGCUAACUACGUG
rnacentral:rRNA from 1 species